GGGAAAAACUUUGAACUUGUUAUAACAAAUGUUUAUCUUCCUCCUGGAGGCAAUAUUGCAGACUUACACAAUAAAUGGGGAAUCUUGGAGGAACAUCUCACUCAUUGUCACUCCAAAUACCCCAAUAUACCCAAUGUUAUAGCAGGGGACUUCAAUGCUCGCAUUGCAACAAACUGGGAGUCUUUAAUCAAAGCCAAAUGGUGGAUAACCCCAGAAUUCAUUAAUGACCUCUCCCUCCAUAAUCAAAGACUUUCUAAAGACAAAAGGGUAAAUGAAGCAGGAACCCUUCUUUACCAAUUGGUACUACGUCUAAACUUAGUGAUUCUAAACGGGAACUGCCCGCCAGACGUACCGGGUGAGUUUACACACAUAAGCUCCUCUGCAAACAGUGUCCUGGAUUAUAUGUUAGUAUCUCAUGACAUAUUCCCCAAAUUUUCCCAUUUUAAAGUCGAAAACUUUCAACUGAGCGACCACUUACCGUUGGUCGCCACAAUGACUAUAGACUGGACCCCAGAUGGAGACAAGCACCCAACACAUCUGACUACGAACUCAGCAUUGCAAAUCAAAAGUGUAAAAUGGUCCGAACUACAGGCCCAAAAAUACUCAGCAUAUUUCCAACAAGGGCUAAAACAAGCAUAUUCAGGCUUAAUCGAGAAUUAUUAUGAUUAUGACCAAACUCUAAGAUUAUUCUCGAAUCUGUCAGAAGAUCUAACGUCUUUUUUCUCUGUCCCGACGCAUAAAAUAAAUAGAACACAAAGGAAGAUAGGUGCCUUGUGGUUCAAUAGUGCUUGUAAACAGGCUAGACAACUUCUUGGUAACAUCUACAAAGAGUAUAAAGCCUCCGGGGCAACGGUCUUGCCAAAAGAAUACUUCCAAGCAAAAUCAGCCUACAAGCAAAUUCAAAAGGGAGCCAGACAGGAAUGGCAAGUGAAUCAAUGGCGAACAAUCAUAGAAGCCUCAUCAUCACGGAACUCCAGACAAUUUUGGCUCCUGGUAAAUAAAAGAACUAAAAGAUACCCUUUGACUAUUAUUCCUGCCCCGGUUUGGGAAUCCUACUUAAAAACUACUUUGCCACAACUGACUGUAUUGCUAACACAAGAGAUGAUUUUCAAGAUCAGCUUCCCCUCUGGCCCCCCACCGACCCGGAAGACAUCCAUGACUUGAUCGUUAAACUCAAAACAGGGAAAGCGCCUGGGCCAGACCUGAUCCCGGCAGAAGCUAUAAAAUACCACGCGGACUGGUGGGCUAAAGUUCUGGCGACCAUCUUCGAUGCCGUUAACAACUCUGGAAAGAUCCCGGAAGUAUGGAAGGACGCUGUUAUCGUUCCAAUCCACAAAAAGGGCUCACCAGAUGACCCGGGGAAUUACAGAAAUAUCAGUCUACUCUCAAUAGUGGGGAAACUGUAUGCCCGCUUCUUGCUGAACAGACUUAACCAAUGUGCCGAAGAGAAAAAUUAAUUGGGCCCGAACAAGCUGGAUUCCGCCCAAAACAGUCAACAAUUAAUCAUAUUCUAAUUUUACAGCAUCUUGCCUGGAAAUAUUCCACCCCAAAGGGUGGCCAACUCUGUGUGGCAUUCAUUGACCUAAAGGCAGCAUUCGAUAGUAUCCCCAGGAACAUCCUCUGGGAAAAACUCUCCCGCUGGGGCAUCGAUAGAAGGCUUCUCUGGCUAAUAAUCAAACUCCAUGAGAACUCAGCGGCUAGAGUGAGACUCACCCCGGAGGGUGAUCUCACCAAUCCAAUUCCCAUUAACAGAGGUGUCCGACAGGGUUGUAUAUUGGCUCCAUUCCUGUUCAACUUAUUCAUAAGCGAUAUGAGGACUCCCCUAAUAGAGGCUCAAGAAAGGAUUCAUGCACCCCGCCUAGCACUUUAUCGCUGCCCUUUGUUACUGUAUGCGGAUGACGCAGUCAUCCUUUCCUUUUCUAGAGUAGGUCUCAGGAGGGCCUUAAAAAUUUUUGGAUCGUACUGUAACGCAAAUUCCCUUACAAUUAAUUAUGGAAAAUCUAAGAUUCUAAUUUUCUCAAAGAGCCGGAAACUCCAUAAUUGGAGAAUUGAUGGGAGAGUCAUCGAACAAGUCUAUAGAUUCCAAUACUUGGGAGUUUGGUUACAACAUAACCUUAGAUGGAAGGCCCAUGUAGCCUAUGUUACAAAUAGAGCCAAAGCUAUCUCCUUGGCGAUCUUGCGAUUCUUCUUCACCGAUGGGGCUCUUCAUAUCCCAUCGGCGUUGAAAGUCUUCAAGGCCAAGGUGAUCCCGACAAUUGCCUAUGCCAUCUCAAUUUGGGGGACUUUUGUCAAUCUAUCUCACCUAGAGGUUAUUCAAAAUCAGUUUUUAAGAGGGAUAUUGAAACUGCCCAACUGUGUAAGUAAUACAGCGUUACGCAUGGAACUUAAUACUGUAUCCCUGGAAAACGCUCUGUGGAAGCACAUACUUUGUCACUGGUUAUCUCUAUGGCACAAUCUCCCAAACUUGUACUUGAUACAAUGUAUGUGGAGAGAUGAUUUCCAGAGCCCAUGGGUAAAAAAUUUACAGCUGAAAAUAAUGACAAUGGGAAUCUCCCCAUCCAAAUUACUAGAGCAGGACAUAGUUCCAGCUAAAAGAACAGUAACCUGUAAACUAGAGGAGAUGGACUUGCAGCAGAAAAUGGUCUUGGGCAAUGGUACCUGCUCACCUCUAAACCUUGGUUUAUCACCCCUCUUAAGGCUCCCAAACUAUUUGAAUUCCUUAACUUCUUCGGCUCAUAGAUAUGCCUUUGUAAAGGCAAGAUUCAACACCUUCCCAUCGAACAUGCUGAGAAAUAGAUUCUCCAAUGGACAGAUAUCGCUCUUAUGUGAUUGUAAUUGUGGGGCACCGGAAUCGUUGCAUCACAUAAUUUUUGACUGUGCUUUUCACUCAUCGGCCAGGAGCAAGUUUCUUGCCCAAUAUCUAAAGGGAAUUGCCGAUGAUACGAAUGAAGCCAAACUGAGAUAUCUAUUAAAUGAUGAUGACCCCCUAAGAUCACUCACGGUUGCCAGAUUCUUGAUCAGUGUCCUAUCCCUAAAGAAGAGAAACGGACUCCUGUGUGGCUCGGAAAAUCCCUUUAAACCAUGAUCUAUGUUUUAGGAUGUAACUAGGUGAAUCACCAUUGAUGUCUUUUAUUGAUCUGUGAGCAGAUGGUGAUGGUUAUGUUACAAAUUUAUUGCAACAUAUGAUGUUGGUCUUUUGUUUUUGUUCUGCUUUGGUUCUUGUCUGUUUUUUGUAAGUUUUGACGGUUUUAAAUUUGGAGGUUCAUGUACAUUAUGUUGGUAUGGGAAACUCUCGUGUGACGGGCCAAUGGCCGUAAUAAAGAUCAAUCAAUCAAU